rnacentral:rRNA from 1 species
GAUGAACGCUGGCGGCGUGCCUAAUACAUGCAAGUCGAGCGAACAGAUGAGGAGCUUGCUCCUCUGACGUUAGCGGCGGACGGGUGGGUAACACGUGGAUAACCUACCUAUAAGACUGGGAUAACUUCGGGAAACCGGAGCUAAUACCGGAUAAUAUAUUGAACCGCAUGGUUCAAUAGUGAAAGACGGUUUUGCUGUCACUUAUAGAUGGAUCCGCGCCGCAUUAGCUAGUUGGUAAGGUAACGGCUACCAAGGCAACGAUGCGUAGCCGACCUGAGAGGGUGAUCGGCCACACUGGAACUGAGACACGGUCCAGACUCCUACGGGAGGCAGCAGUAGGGAAUCUUCCGCAAUGGGCGAAAGCCUGACGGAGCAACGCCGCGUGAGUGAUGAAGGUCUUCGGAUCGUAAAACUCUGUUAUUAGGGAAGAACAAAUGUGUAAGUAACUAUGCACGUCUUGACGGUACCUAAUCAGAAAGCCACGGCUAACUACGUG